ACUAAAAAACACAAAUAUUAUACAGCAUAUGCAAAGAUUUAUCAGCUUUUGCCAGUUUAUUUAAUGUACGUAAUCAAACAAAAAUGUUAUAUAUACAUAGCCAUAUAAAGCUUUAUUAAAAAGUUAAAACAAAAAUUCAAAAUACAAGGGGACUAGUAAGAAACUCGUUAUCACUAUGCUAUAAAAUAACAGUAGAUACAGCACCUUGUAAUAAGGCUUCAAUUGAUUUAUACUUAUGAAGCAUUUUUUGCUUGAUAAUAGCCAUAAAAUAUAUUCACAAAGGUCGGCUGUUUAUACUUGUAGAGUGAAAUAUAGGUUAAACGUCUAAGACAUUUUAAUGAGGUUAUGCUUACUUUCGUAGUAUAAUAAUGAAAAUUGUAAAUCUUAAUGCUCUAUAUGAAGAAAAUUUAGCCUCUUGCCUUAUGAUUUAAGUUCCAAUAGUGUGUGCCAUAAACAACAAGAUCAGUCACAUGUCAAACCAAUUUAUGAUUUGGCUGAGUGUUCGUGUCUUUUUGUAAAUGCAUGUGUACAGGCACAAUUAAUUUUACUUUGCAGGAUGUUUGAUAAAUAAAUACUACCAACUGAUCAUUGAACAAGUAAGAUUUAUUAUCUUGAAGUCAAUAAUAAAUCUAAUAAAUCAAUAACAUUUUUAUUACAAUUUCUAAAAAAACAUAUUUUAAAUUAUGAACGUCUUGAAAAAAUUUACAAAAAUUUAAUAAUCUUCAAUCGUGUGAUAUCUUUCAAAGCGUAUUGGUACAUGUAAUGCAACUUUACAUCUUUUGCACUCCCACGUUGUUUCACUACGUUUUUUAUGUUUUGUGCAUGCUUUACAAGCUCUUGGUGGCUUUGAUUUCGAUGGUGUUGGAUCUAUAUGCUUGGGAAAAUGACCCCAAUGUUUUCCAUGCAGUCUCUUUGGUAAAUCUCCAUUCGAUAAUCGUCCUUUUCGUAUAUAUUCUGGUAAUGGUACAUUUUUUUAGUAAUGAUUGGGCUAUUUCAAUUCUAUAUUCAGCAUAAGUCUGUUUUUUGUGAGUAUUUAUUUUGUUGAAUAAAAUGUACGAGUUAAACAGAGCAAUAUCAAA